rnacentral:rRNA from 1 species
AACGAACGCUGGCGGCAUGCCUAACACAUGCAAGUCGAACGGGAUCCUAGCUUGCUAGGUGAGAGUGGCGGACGGGUGAGUAACACGUGGGAAUCUGCCUUUUGGUUCGGGAUAACCGCGGAAACUGCGGCUAAUACCGAAUGCCCUCGAGAGAGGAAAGAUUUAUCGCCAGAAGAGGAGCCCGCGUCCGAUUAGGGUAGUUGGUGGGGUAAAGCCUACCAAGCCGACGAUCGGUAGCUGGUCUGAGAGGAUGAUCAGCCACACUGGGACUGAGAUACGGCCCAGACUCCUACGGGAGGCAGCAG